rnacentral:lncRNA from 1 species
UAUACACUGGUAUACGGGGGGAAAUGUUGAAAUACGGGAAUACAAGUUUGAAACUAGAAAUGCAGGUUUUAAAGGUCCUAAAAACGGGUUGUAUAACAGUCAUAUACAGGUCUUUGGGGCGAAAAUGAACCUAAAGCCCAAUUCUUUUGUGCAGCAAUCCUAUGUGAUUAGGCAGCAGGUUGAAAAAGACACAAACGGGC